rnacentral:rRNA from 1 species
ACGCACGCUGGCGGCGUGCUUCACACAUGCAAGUCGAACGGAAAGGCCCUGCCUUUGUGGGGUGCUCGAGUGGCGAACGGGUGAGUAACACGUGAGUAACCUGCCCUUGACUUUGGGAUAACUUCAGGAAACUGGGGCUAAUACCGGAUAGGAGCUCCUGCUGCAUGGUGGGGGUUGGAAAGUUUCGGCGGUUGGGGAUGGACUCGCGGCUUAUCAGCUUGUUGGUGGGGUAGUGGCUUACCAAGGCUUUGACGGGUAGCCGGCCUGAGAGGGUGACCGGCCACAUUGGGACUGAGAUACGGCCCAGACUCCUACGGGAGGCAGCAGUGGGGAAUAUUGCACAAUGGGCGGAAGCCUGAUGCAGCAACGCCGCGUGCGGGAUGACGGCCUUCGGGUUGUAAACCGCUUUCGCCUGUGACGAAGCGUGAGUGACGGUAAUGGGUAAAGAAGCACCGGCUAACUACGU